rnacentral:lncRNA from 1 species
AUGAUGGCUGAUCUAAGCUAAUAUGGUAUUUGAUCUAUGCCAACUAAAGAAAUCUCAGAAUCCACAUGACAACCUAUUAUAAGUGGAUAAUGAAGAACAUAACAAAAAAUCUCUCUAGAUAAAGCAGAAAAUUAUAAGCAUAUCACGUCCGAUAAGGCAGGGCUAACCAUCUGAUUCUUCUUCCUCCUCACGGUACCUCAACCUCUACCUGUAAAUAGAGGUCCGUAGGAGACCCCUAAGGUAUG